UACGUAGGGUGCAAGCGUUAAUCGGAAUUACUGGGCGUAAAGCGUGCGCAGGCGGUUUUGUAAGACAGAUGUGAAAUCCCCGGGCUUAACCUGGGAACUGCGUUUGUGACUGCAAGACUCGAGUACGGCAGAGGGGGGUGGAAUUCCACGUGUAGCAGUGAAAUGCGUAGAGAUGUGGAGGAACACCGAUGGCGAAGGCAGCCCCCUGGGUCGAUACUGACGCUCAUGCACGAAAGCGUGGGGAGCAAACAGG
rnacentral:rRNA from 1 species